GUAACACGUGAGUGACCUGCCUUUUAGACUGGAACAACUUACCGAAAGGUGAGCUAAUGCCGGAUGAGUUAUAUAAGUGCAUGUUUAUAUAGGAAAAGUUGGGGAGACCUGACGCUGAAAGAUGGACUCGCGUCCCAUUAGCUAGUUGGUAGGGUAAUGGCCUACCAAGGCGACGAUGGGUAGCCGGCCUGAGAGGGUGGCCGGCCACACUGGGACUGAGACACGGCCCAGACUCCUACGGAAGGCAGCAG
rnacentral:rRNA from 1 species